AUCCUGUCUGUGAAAGUCUAUGUGUAGUAUCUGUUCUUAUCAGUUUAAUAUCUGAUAUGUCACCUAUCCGGGGACCAUAUAAUAAAUAGUUUUUUAGAACAGGGAACUGGAACAAGGGCUUGCUCUGUCCACUCUACGCAUCAACCUGGUAUUGCAGAACUUCAAAGAAUGGUGCACUAAAA
ensembl:snRNA U2 U2 spliceosomal RNA